CUAGCUGACCUAUAAGGUUGAAAUGGUUUGUCUCUUCGGAGACAUCCGAUAAAAGGUUGAAAUGGAUUUGGAAAUGUUGCUCGUGAGUGGGGCCUGGCUGGCAUAGGGAGUCCUUUGUCUAGUGUCAACUUGCACAACCUAGUCCCUAUCAAUGUCCAUGGGAAUGCAUUAUUGAAGGUGACUAAGAAGAAUGAAGUUUUUUUGCGGUAGCAAGAUGGUAUGCGUGUGGAGCAUUCACGAGGCACAGGAUUAACCAAUGAGGUGCAUUUUAGGCUCUUAUAAAUAUAAAUGGGACCACUGCAUCAUCUUAGUUGAAGAGUUAAAUUAAUGUCAACGGUCGAGGUACUUGAUGUCAACUCAAGGAAGAGACUUUUAGGAAGGUGCCGAUGAAACAAGGAACUAGUUGAAAAGAUGAUGGAAGAACAACAUUCACGCUUCAAGUUGGAAUCCAAGGACGAAUGGGACAAAGAAGGACUCACACUUCAUCAAGACAUUCAAAAAGAUUCAGUCAUCCAAGGGUGAAAGGCUCUACAUCGACCUUCCAAGUCCAAGGCAGGGAAUUUCAAAAGAGUUAAUCAUUUCGGAGUAUGCUUCAUCACAUGAUGCAUUCGGAACAUUGUUGAGUAUCAAAAGAUAUUGCUUAAGAUAUCAACACUUCUUCAUGAUGAGGAAUCAAAUUCAAGGCAAGCUGAGGUGGCAUCCCAGUCAUCAAUCAACCAAUCCAAGGGUUUCAAGUCAAAUGUGUCUAGGUGCAAUGAAUCGGAUUCAACAAGUGGCUCCUAUUUUCUCAUUGGUUAUCCAAAGUGUUGUAAUUUUCUCAUUGGCCGAAAGGAGUUUAUUUGCAAGUAACCCUAAUUAGGGUUUUAUCUGUUAAUCUUGGCCAUUGAUCUUAAAUCAAUUUGGGCUGUUGCUUCGUAAUGGGGUGCCUAUAUAAACCCCCCUCCUCUCAUUUGUAAAGGGAGAGAUUUCUGAGAAAUUGUUGUAAUAAUACUUCUUAAGUGCUAAGACAUAAUUCAUUGCUCAAU